rnacentral:rRNA from 2 species
GGUUAAGCGACUAAGCGUACACGGUGGAUGCCCUGGCAGUCAGAGGCGAUGAAGGACGUGCUAAUCUGCGAUAAGCGUCGGUAAGGUGAUAUGAACCGUUAUAACCGGCGAUUUCCGAAUGGGGAAACCCAGUGUGAUUCGUCACACUAUCAUUAACUGAAUCCAUAGGUUAAUGAGGCGAACCGGGGGAACUGAAACAUCUAAGUACCCCGAGGAAAAGAAAUCAACCGAGAUUCCCCCAGUAGCGGCGAGCGAACGGGGAGCAGCCCAGAGCCUGAAUCAGUGUGUGUGUUAGUGGAAGCGUCUGGAAAGGCGUGCGAUACAGGGUGACAGCCCCGUACACAAAAAUGCACAUACUGUGAGCUCGAUGAGUAGGGCGGGACACGUGGUAUCCUGUCUGAAUAUGGGGGGACCAUCCUCCAAGGCUAAAUACUCCUGACUGACCGAUAGUGAACCAGUACCGUGAGGGAAAGGCGAAAAGAACCCCGGCGAGGGGAGUGAAAAAGAACCUGAAACCGU